AGUGAACGCUGGCGGUAGGCCUAACACAUGCAAGUCGAACGGCAGCACAGUAAGAGCUUGCUCUUACGGGUGGCGAGUGGCGGACGGGUGAGGAAUACAUCGGAAUCUACUUUUUCGUGGGGUAUAACGUAGGGAAACUUACGCUAAUACCGCAUACGACCUACGGGUGAAAGCAGGGGAUCUUCGGACCUUGCGCGAUUGACUGAGCCGAUGUCGGAUUAGCUAGUUGGCGGGGUAAAGGCCCACCAAGGCGACGAUCCGUAGCUGGUCUGAGAGGAUGAUCAGCCACACUGGAACUGAGACACGGUCCAGACUCCUACGGGAGGCAGCAGUGGGGAAUAUUGGACAAUGGGCGCAAGCCUGAUCCAGCCAUACCGCGUGGGUGAAGAAGGCCUUCGGGUUGUAAAGCCCUUUUGUUGGGAAAGAAAAGCAGCAGGUUAAUACCCCGCUGUUCUGACGGUACCCAAAGAAUAAGCACCGGCUAACUUCGUG
rnacentral:rRNA from 1 species